ACGGCCGUACCAUGCUGAAUAUACCGGUUCUCGUUAGAUCACCGAAGUUAAGCAUCAUUGGGCGCGGUCAGUACUUGGGUGGGUGACCACCUGGGAACACUGCGUACCGUU
rnacentral:rRNA from 1 species